rnacentral:rRNA from 1 species
UACGGAGGGUGCAAACGUUGUCCGGAUUUACUGGGCGUAAAGCGCAUGUAGGUGGCCUUAUAAGUGAAUGAUUAAAGACCAACACUUAACGUUUGGAACUGUUGUUCAUACUGUUUGGCUGGAGGGUGGCAGGGGGAGCAUGGAACUUUUGAGUGUAGGAGUGAUAUCCGUAGAUAUUCAAAGGAACACCAAUGGCGAAGGCAGUGCUCUGGGCCAUUUCUGACACUGGAGAUGCGAAAAGUGUGGGGAGCAAACGGGGAUUUAGAAACCCCC